rnacentral:tRNA from 1 species
AAAUAAGAUUCAAUUAAUUGUAUUUAGUUUCGACCUAAAAAUUUGGUAUUAAUUUAUACCCUUAUUUU